UGUCCUUGUCUCAUCGGUUUUUUUCUUUCUUCCAAUCCAUACAUUCGGUUCUUGUGAGCAGGAAUCUACGGAUGAGCUUUGCCUACCUGAUUGUAAUCAUCGUAGCAGUGGACAAAGACACAUCAGUCAUCAAUCCACCUCAAUCUAUGCCCAGCUUGCCAUGAUGCUCUCUGCGUUCAUAUAAAACCUACAACAGUACGAUAUGGAUUAAACAAGAUCCCAACAUAAAUAUGAAAUAUACAUCGGCUGCAUCUGGCAGGCAGUGCAGACUACACACAGACUGAAGGCUUUCCGGGCCCGUGUGUCGGAAGCUGCUAUUCCCAAGGUGCGUUGUUUACUUGAGGUUGAGCUACGGCAGCUGAGCUUUGUUCGUAAAAUGACUCAAAAUAACCAAUUAUCCAUCUUUGACAGCGUGUAGAAUCAGC